UACAGAGGGUGCAAGCGUUGUUCGGAAUUAUUGGGCGUAAAGCGCGUGUAGGCGGCAGUGCAAGUCGGGUGUGAAAGCCCUCAGCUCAACUGAGGAAGUGCGCUCGAAACUGCAUUGCUUGAGUACCGGAGAGGAUGGCGGAAUUCCCGAAGUAGAGGUGAAAUUCGUAGAUAUCGGGAGGAACACCGGUGGCGAAGGCGGCCAUCUGGACGGAUACUGACGCUGAGACGCGAAAAGCGUGGGUAGCAAACGAGGA
rnacentral:rRNA from 1 species